rnacentral:rRNA from 1 species
AUGGCUGCCGACAUGAACCAAUGCCACUGCGCCCCCGCUCCCAGUGCUUUGCCAGAGACAAAUAGUAACUUAGCCAAGCUGGUACCAUUUGGUAUCGGAGCUCUGGUCGUCGUAGGCGUCGUCAUGCUGUUCGUCCUGCACGUCCUCGGCUGCUUACGCCGGAGGUCGAGCAACAAGGCCCUCCACGGCGUCGUGGUGGGGGCCUACUCCCUCUCCUACGCGCUGGUCAGCUACACCCUCGGGCUGAUGCAGUCUUCCACGUACUACGUCUACGAGUUUUCCAUAUGGGCGGUGUGCCUGCUCCUGCUCGUCGGCAGCGCCGACUGCCUGACGGCCAGCAGCCUCAACGACAUCGAGAGUUGGAAGAGCCACAUCGUGAAGCACCUCAUCCACGGAAUGUGGGGGGUGUGGAUCGUUCUGUACGUCGGCUUGCUGCCGGGGACGUCGGACUUCCCGGUGACCAUGAAGGUGGCGCUCUGGUUCAUGCUGUUCAUCAUCCUGCUCAAGUCGUACGCGCGGAUCGCAUCCAUGAGGAUGGCGCGCAAAUCUUACAUGCUCUGCAAGAACAUGAAGCGGAUCGCAGACUACAUGCAGGAGGAUGUGCUACGGGCAUGCGAUGAGAGGCCCGACCCGGUGACCAUGCAAGGCUACCGGUACGUGGUCUCCGGCGAGCGCAAGCAGAAAUUCCUCGUGAAGCGACCCGAGUACGUGUUAACUUACGACAGGCAGUGCGUGAAGAUGACCACCGUGGAGCAGAUCUGGUCGUGCACGGGCAGCCUCCUGAGUUCUGACGGCGGCGGGUUGCUCAAGGACAUGUGCCUCUCCAUGGCCUUGUCCAAGAUGCUCAACCGAAGGUUCGCUGGCUUCGAGCUAGUCGAGGCGGAGCUCGAGAAGACCCACGAUUUUGUGUUCAGCGGGCUGCUCGCCGGCGACAAGCAGAAGCAGUGCGAGCGGGUGUUCAGGGUCGUGGAAGAAGAGCUUGCUUUCGUCCAUGACUUGUACUACACAAGGUACCCUUAUCUCUACCACAAGGGUCGCUACUUCGCCUUCUACUUGCCCUUCGCCAUGAUUGGCCUCUGCCUCUGGGCCAUUCACCUGCUCUUCGAGCGUUUUCAGAAGAACAAGUUUCGGUUGUGGACCACUACCACAAUGGUUUUAAUGGUGGUGGUGGCAUUCUUGGAGCUAUUCCAGCUGUACCUGUACGCGGCAUCAGGGUGGUGCAAGGGGGCGUUGAUAAGGAGCUACGCCGCCAUGCCUGCGUCUGCGUUGCAAAGGAACGGCUUCUGUCAGAUGCUCAUUGGUCUUCUAUUGAGGUUGAAGGCGCUUCGCCCGUGGGAGGACAAGCUCGGCCAGUACUCUCUCAUCGACGCGUUCGACCGAACGCGUCGUGCUAGCAAGUGCCUGCACUGCAUGACAUGCUGCCUAGUCGACAAGCCUAAGAAGGGUCGCCACAGAGCCAAGCCUGUCAAGGUGUCGAGGCAGCUGAAGCAAGCAGUCGUCGAUUCUCUCAUCGAUAGCGAGGGCCGCCUCACCAAUGGGGUCAGAUCCCUGAGAAACAAUGGCGUCGAGCAACUAUUGGAGAGGGCUAGCAACAGAACGACGACGACCCACACCGUUCUGGUGUGGCACAUUGCUACAACCCUCUGCAAGCACAGCCUCGAUGAGCAAGCAAAAGACGGGCGGCUGCCCGGAAAUGAUGGAAGCACGAUUGACACGGACUCCUCGGUGGCCUCCAGCUUGUCGCUCUACUGCGCGUACCUCAUCGCCUUCGAGCUGGAUCUCUUGCCCGAUCACAGCUCCGUUUCGACAUUGAUACUCGGGGAAUCCAUCAGAGAAGCGCGCAAGCUGCUCAAAGGGGCCAAGACCAUGAAGCGCAAGUAUGAGAAGCUCAUGGACAUCAGUGACGGGUCCGCCGCCGGCGACGUGUCGAUCGUCGUGGAGGGCGCUCGACUUGCGAGAAGGCUGAACGAGGACAUCCCAGACCCGGCGCGACGCUGGAGGAUCCUCUCCGAGUUCUGGGCGGAGAUGAUGCUGUACCUAGCGCCCUCCGACAACGCCCGGGCGCAUCUGGAGGCUCUGGCGACAGGAGGUGAGUUCAUCACGCACCUCUGGGCGCUGCUCACCCACGCCGGCGUGCUGCAGCGAAAUCGUGGCGCUGGCGGGCCACAGGCUGCUGUCUAA